rnacentral:rRNA from 1 species
UGAGAGUGGCGAACGGGUGAGUAAUGCGUGACCGACCUGCCCCAUACACCGGAAUAGCUCCUGGAAACGGGUGGUAAUGCCGGAUGCUCCGGUUGGAUGCAUGUCCUUCCGGGAAAGAUUCUAUCGGUAUGGGAUGGGGUCGCGUCCUAUCAGCUUGAUGGCGGGGUAACGGCCCACCAUGGCUUCGACGGGUAGCCGGCCUGAGAGGGCGACCGGCCACAUUGGGACUGAGAUACGGCCCAGACUCCUACGGGAGGCAGCAGUGGGGAAUAUUGCACAAUGGGCGCAAGCCUGAUGCAGCGACGCCGCGUGCGGGAUGGAGGCCUUCGGGUUGUAAACCGCUUUUGAUCGGGAGCAAGCCCUUCGGGGUGAGUGUACCUUUCGAAUAAGCACCGGCUAACUACGUGCCAGCAGCCGCGGUAAUACGUAGGGUGCAAGCGUUAUCCGGAAUUAUUGGGCGUAAAGGGCUCGUAGGCGGUUCGUCGCGUCCGGUGUGAAAGCCCAUCGCUUAACGGUGGGUCUGCGCCGGGUACGGGCGGGCUGGAGUGCGGUAGGGGAGACUGGAAUUCCCGGUGUAACGGUGGAAUGUGUAGAUAUCGGGAAGAACACCAAUGGCGAAGGCAGGUCUCUGGGCCGUCACUGACGCUGAGGAGCGAAAGCGUGGGGAGCGAACAGGAUUAGAUACCCUGGUAGUCCACGCCGUAAACGGUGGAUGCUGGAUGUGGGGCCCGUUCCACG